GAUGAACGCUGGCGGCGUGCCUAAUACAUGCAAGUCGAGCGAACGGACGAGAAGCUUGCUUCUCUGAUGUUAGCGGCGGACGGGUGAGUAACACGUGGAUAACCUACCUAUAAGACUGGGAUAACUUCGGGAAACCGUAGCUAAUACCUGAUAAUAUUUUGAACCGCAUGGUUCAAAAUUGAAAGACGGUCUUGCUGUCACUUAUAGAUGGAUCCGCGCUGCAUUAGCUAGUUGGUAAGGUAACGGCUUACCAAGGCAACGAUGCAUAGCCGACCUGAGAGGGUGAUCGGCCACACUGGAACUGAGACACGGUCCAGACUCCUACGGGAGGCAGCAGUAGGGAAUCUUCCGCAAUGGGCGAAAGCCUGACGGAGCAACGCCGCGUGAGUGAUGAAGGUCUUCGGAUCGUAAAACUCUGUUAUUAGGGAAGAACAUAUGUGUAAGUGACUGUGCACAUCUUGACGGUACCUAAUCAGAAAGCCACGGCUAACUACGUG
rnacentral:rRNA from 1 species